UUCAUCCAAUGGUCAAAACUAAUCCCCACCCACAUAUAUUUACCUAAUUACAACCUAAAAAAAAACCCUAGAGAAGACCCCUUAACCAAAUCCAGCCGCAGCAGCCCCAACCCGCCGGACCUCCUCUGUUUCAACCACUCAUCUCCAGCCACUCCCAACAGCGGCAGACCCCUCAUUACCUCUGAACCCUCACAGCCGCCGGACCAGCUGCACCAAAACUCUCCAAACCAGCCGCACCACACAAACUAGCGGCCAUGGCUUGAAUCGUUCCCAACUCCAAUUCUAGCCGCCUUCAACUCACCGUCAACCACCAGUGGCCUUACCCCUUCAUUUUUUUCUUCUUCACACCACCCCAAAUGACCACCCUCACACACACAGAGAAUAGAGGAAACAGAGAAAGAAUCCAUCAAAUCUGCAUCCGAAGAGAUUUCUCAGGAUUUCAAAACCCUAAUCAAUGCUCAGGAUUUGGAUUCUCUGAAGCAAUUGCAAAACCUCAUAUUGGGACGGUUGCAGGACAGGAAUGCAGUGUUUUUGCACUUCAAUGAGUAUUUAGAACAUUGUUUCACAGAGAUCUCGACAAAUUUCUCUAGAAAUACACAUCUCUUAAAAUCUAUGAAGUCAGGCCUUGAUUACAUAUUUCAGAAGUUGAGGCAUGAUCAUCCUUUUCUUCCCUCUCGUUAUCCUCUUCUUUCUGAAUUUCAAUAUCAGUAUUUGCUGCUGUAAAUUUCGCAAUUACUAAUUUCGAUCAAAAUUGAAGUCUAUUUGAGUCCGUUCAGUUGAGGUACCGUUCGAGGUUGAGAGUCGCCGUUUUCAUUGUCCUUUUCAUUUUCGGUACCGAUUUUGGUCGCGAUUUUAUCCGCUUAUGAAUGACAAAGUCAUCCUAGCAUUCGAAUUUCAGAUUUAAUAUCAAGGUGUGGAUCCAUGUACCAGGACUCGAGCAUGACUGAUAUCCUAGGACCACUGCAUUCAGGAGCUACUUGAGGAGACUUUUUAUAUUUUGUGUCUGUUUUUGAGUCUUUUAGGUGGUUUAAGAGUUUGUUUAGACUUUUGUCAUCGUACUUCCUAUGAUGUAUUUGAAAACCAAAAAAAAAUAUAAAUGAAAAAUCCAAAAAGAAUUUUAUUUUUA